rnacentral:lncRNA from 1 species
CCGGGAGUUACACACCAACGAAUUUCUAAAGAAAGCCUAACAAAAAGGCAAAUAAAGCAAGAGGAUUCUCACAGACUCACUGCUGCAGGGCUUUAAAAUCUCAGCCUCAUCUAUUGAACACUAGCCCAGCUUCCCUCAACCCCUCAAAGCAGCAAGAUUUAUGCAAGCCUCCUGUGACAGCAGAGCUUCUGUCCCAUCAGUAGCCUUAUCAAAUCUGUCCUAUAGCCCCAUCAGACCUGAGCGAACACCUGCUUUCCAGGUGCAAGACCAUAGAGGCUGAGAAGGAAGAGAAGUCAGCAACAGAAAUAACCUCACUAACAGCAAGACCCCCAGAGAAGCUAAAAACAUUCCAGGCAGGGCUCACAACAGCUCUCAGAGCAGAAUUCCCAAGGCAUCACUUAUGGUUUCUACAAGAGCUUUUGCCUUGCUGUUCCUUCCCCUACAUGCGACCUUUCAGCCCCAGUGAGUCCAGAGGCUUUCUGCAGAGAGAACUGAGUCAGACUGUGAAGAAGAGGCUUUGGGCAGCUAAGAGCAGCUCCAAAGCAGAGGAAGGAUGAAGGGUGGCUGCCAACCCCACUGCUUUGUGGAAGUUCCACACCUUGCUGAGGACACCUCAUGCCUCUCAUAGGAUCCUGACCUGCUGACGUACAGACAGAAUAUGUGAGAAAUACAGGAAUGAUAUAUCCCAGAUCAAACUGCUUCUUAAGCUCGUGUUAUGGAAGAAAAAGACAUAUGCAACAUAAUGGCAGCUCACUGCAGCUGAAGUAAUAUAAACAUCUCUGGAAGAUGGAUAUUUAAG